ACAUUUGCCAGCCCGACACUGAGGAAGAAGCGGGCCAGGUACUAGAGCCUGAGAGGUAACAAGCCAUAGAGCAGACAUAGAAUUAUAUAGAUAGGUAAAUAUUGUAUUAAUUUGUAAUAAUUGUAUUAAACUGUAUUAAUUAACUGUAUCAAUGAUUUUGUAUUAAAAAUGUUGUACAAAUUAAUUAAUUGUAUUAAUAAUUGUGUUAAAUUGUAAUAAUGUAAGAGCUAGUGGGGAACUAGAAUAACCAAAGGCCUAAAACUAUUUUAAAUAAAUAUGUCUCUGUGUCAUUAUUUAGAGCUAGGGCAGGCACAGAAAGGCCUUAUGCAGGGCUGGAGACAUGGCUCAGUGGUUAAGAGCACUGACUGCUCUUCCACAGAGGACCUUAGUUCAAUUCCCAGCAACCACAUGGUGGCUCACAACCAUCUGUAAUGGGAUCCGAUGCCCUCGUCCCCGGUGUGUCUGAAGACAGUGACAGUGUACUCAUAUACAUUAAAUGAAUAAAUAAAUCUUAAAUUAAAAAAA
rnacentral:lncRNA from 1 species